rnacentral:rRNA from 1 species
GACGAACGCUGGCGGCGUGCUUAACACAUGCAAGUCGAACGGAAAGGCCCUGCUUUUGUGGGGUGCUCGGGUGGCGAACGGGUGAGUAACACGUGAGUAACCCGCCCUUUCCUGUGGGCUACCUUCAGGAAACUGGGGUUACUACCGGGUAGGAGCUCCUGCUGCAUGGUGGGGGUUGGAAAGUUUCGGCGGUUGGGGAUGGACUCGCGGCUUAUCAGCUGGUUGGUGGGGUGGUGGCUUACCAAGGCUUUGACGGGUAGCCGGCCUGAGAGGGGGACCGGCCACAUGGGGACUGGGAUACGGCCAAGACUCCAACGGGAGGCAGCAGUGGGGAAUAUUGCACAAUGGGCGGAAGCCUGAGGCAGCAACGCCGCGUGGGGGAUGACGGCUUUCGGGUGGUAAACCGCUUUCGCAUGUGACGAAGCGUGAGUGACGGUAAUGGGUAAAGAAGCACCGGCUAACUACGUG